GCAGUAGCAGUAGCAGUAGCAGCAGUAGCAGUAGCAGUAGCAGUAGCAGUAGCAGUAGCAAUAGCAGUAGCAGUAGCAGUAGUUACUAGUAUGUGAAGUGUUGUUUCUUUAUACCAGGUAUGCCGGGAGAACUCUUUAUGCGGUUGCUUCGUCUCAUGGUGCUUCCACUGAUUGUAAGCAGUGUGAUAUCAGAGCUGUGACGAUUCCAGAAAUGCUUAACGCUUGCGAGGAAAAGAAUGGAAUUGACAAAAGAGUGGCUCGUUUUGUGAUUCCUCUCUGUGCGACCUUGAACCGCGACGGAAGCGCCCUCUACAUAACGUCUUCCGCAAUUUUCAUUGGUCAGAUGGCGUUGGGAUCAGUUUCCGUUAGCAACGUAGUUGUAAUUUGGGACCGUAUCAGAACCGUCUGCAACAUCAUUAGUCACACGUUUUGCACGGCAGUGACGUACCAGUUCUGCAAGGAAGACUUGGGACAGAUGGAAAUGCCAGAAGGUCACCGAGAAAACGAAAUGGCCUAAUAUGGUCCUAUUUUAUGUGCACUGUGAUAAUCGUAGUCGACACAGGCUGUUUACGAAAUAAGAUGAGAGCAUUAUCCACGAAGCUAAGUGUAAGUGACGAUAUGUUCCGGACACAAAAUAUUCUGACAGAAAAAAAAAAAAAAAAAAAAAAAUAAUAAUAAUAAAAUAAUAAUAAUAAUAAAAAA